GCACGUAGUUGGCCGGUGCUUAUUCAUAGGGUACAGUCAGGCCCGGCAACCGGGCUAUUCUUCCCCUAUAAAAGAGGUUUACAUCCUAACGGAUUUCAUCCCUCACGCGGCGUCGCUGCUUCAGGCUUUCGCCCAUUGAGCAAUGUUCCUCA
rnacentral:rRNA from 1 species